rnacentral:rRNA from 1 species
GAUAAACGCUGGCGGCGUGCCUAACACAUGCAAGUCGAACGGAGUCCAGCCUUUAAGACCUUCGGGUCAAAGAGGGGAAGACUGAGUGGCGGACGGGUGAGUAACACGUGGGCAACCUGGCUCAUAGAGGGGGAUAACAGAGAGAAAUUUCUGCUAAUACCGCAUAAGCACACACUGCCGCAUGGCAGAGGGUGAAAAGAGAAUCGCUAUGAGAUGGACCCGCGUCUGAUUAGCCAGUUGGCAGGGUAAGAGCCUACCAAAGCGACGAUCAGUAGCCGAUCUGAGAGGAUGAACGGCCACAUUGGGACUGAGACACGGCCCAAACUCCUACGGGAGGCAGCAGUGGGGGAUAUUGCACAAUGGGGGGAACCCUGAUGCAGCGACGCCGCGUAAGUGAAGAAGUAUUUCGGUAUGUAAAGCUCUAUCAGCAGGGAAGAUAAUGACAGUACCUGAAUAAGAAGCCCCGGCUAACUACGUG